rnacentral:lncRNA from 1 species
UAUGACUUAUGGCUUAUUUUAUUUGAGUGUUUACCAAACGCGUAAAUAGUCAAACACCGCUGUUGGUGCGCUAUACUUAUCCGUUUCUCCCCCCCCCCCCAAUUUUUUGGUUCUUCCAAAGCAUAUUUUGGUUCUGGACUCCUUCAGCUAAGAAUUAAAAAGCUUCUACUCUUCGAGAUUGCUGCUUGCUUUGUUUGUUUGAUCUGGACUAUUUUCGUGCAUUUUGGUUUAAAGGUUUGAGCUUUAUUUCACGGAUUCUUGAUUUUCUGGGACUAAUUUUAUUGCUAUAACGUUUCACCUUCUCAAAUUUAUGUUUUUUUUUUUUCCUAUCGUGAUGUUAUGAUAUGAACUAGCGUCUGAUUAGGGUAUCACGUCCUUCUGGAUUUUGUUUCCUCAAGUGGAAUGUUAGUUUCAGAAAAUCUUUCCGACUUGAUUCUGCCUCCAACUCCUUUAAAACAAAGAAGAUAGUGCUGUGUGUGCGCGCGCAACAAGUAAGGCCGUUCUUGUGAUCUUCAUACUCAGAGAGUAUAAGAUUAGAGGCUAAUUUGAACAUUUCAGGAUACACAAGUUUAUCAAAGAGUCGCAUGAUGAUCCUAUUUCAAAAUUUGAGUAACUCAAUAAACGCUUUUCGACUUUUUAGGAAGAACUAAUUUUUAAAAAGCAUGAGAUCUAUAUACAUGACAAUUCUAGUAAGAUAAAGGUUUACAUCUACUUUUUUUUCUUCAAGGAGUCUUACAUGAAAUAGAAUCCUAAUUCUUUAAAAGACGAGUUUGAAGCAAAUGAUGUAGUUUCAACUUCUGACGAGCUGGUUUAGUUUUAGGGAUUGUUACACAAAUAGCCCGUCAGAUUCAAUCUUUACUUUUUCUAGCCGGUAUACAUAAAUUAUACAUUGAUUAUAUAUAAUUAUGUAUAUAUUAUACAUCCGCCGGCUAUUUGAGUUAAUUUGUCUUAGUUUUAUUUACUUUUCUGUUUGUCAAACAUUCACUUAAACAUAUGGCUACAAAAGCUAACUUCAUCAGCGAAAUAUCCAUCCAAGAUGCAAUGGAACUUGAAGGUUUGUAUUGUGCGAUUGUGGCAGAUUCUGGAUCACGAGAAGCCAGACAAUCUAUUCUCGCUUGAAUUGUUUCUGCAUGAUAAAAAGUAUCUUUUAAUCCUUUCUGCUAGAUGUAGUUGAUGGUGGACCAUUUUAAGCAAGGUCCCAAGGAGCAGGCUAGACUUCUCAUGUACUCAGUUUGCUUUAAAAGGUCAAUUUCUUCACCAUCAAAUGAAUCUAACAAAAAGGAUUAUACGAUACCUUUUCAUCUCGCAUAAGCAAGUCAAGCGAGAAUGGAUUGUCUGGCUUCUCGCGAUUUGGAAUCAGCCACAAUCACGCAACACGAACCUUCAAAUUCCGUUGCAUUUAUGUAAUGGAUAUUUCACUGAUGAAGUCAGUUUCUGUAGUCAUAUUUCGAGGUGAAUAUUUGACAAAUUAAUACAGAAAAGUAAACCAACUCAUCAGUAGUUGAAAUAGAAUCAUUUGCUUCAAACUCGUCAUUUAAAUAAUUAGAAUUCUAUUUCACGAAAGACUCAUUGAAAAAAAAAACAUAAAUGUAAAUAUUAUCUUUUUAGAAUGGUCAUAUAUAUAGGACUCAUGUUUUCCAAAAAUGCUUCUUCCUAAACAAACAGAAAAGCGUUCAUUCAGUGUGGACUCUUCCUUUUCCUUUUAAGUCCAAUCACACAUCCACAGAAGAAUAUAAAAGGUAAGGAUAAAGGGGAGGGCAAUGUGUGUGCAUUUCUUUUUUAUGUCAAUAUCUUAUCUCCGUAGAUUCAUUUUGCUCUAGCAUUUCUUACAGUUCUAUACAAAAUGAUAUUUACGUUAAUAUGGUAGUUGAUCUCUUCUUCAUGCACCUUAAGGAUAACUGAUAUAUGCAGCUCAAGGAGCACAACGCUAAUAUGAUGUGCCAUUUUCGUUCUCUUUGCUAGAAAGCAAAUGGAAGGCACACCGAAUCAGGAGACAAGUCUAAGGAGGCAUCAAUGAUACUUUUAGAACCAAAAACCUUUUUGCACUCACAAAACACUCAUAACUUUUUAAAACUACAACUGUCCAACUUUUUUCUCGAAAGCAAAAAAUUUCUCCAAAAUUGUCUGAAUGGCUCCUAAAUACUUCCUGCAAGCUGAAUGAGGGAGCUCAAUUGCCUCUUAGAACCCUUUCAAAUCUUACACAAUUCAGGGUUGUAAAUCUAAUCUGACAAAUGGGGAUCAAUGAGGAGCCUCUGAAUGCCGCUGUUCUGAACUGCCAGUCCCUUCCCUAUAUGAGACACUAGGGUGGCAUAUAUUACACAAAACAAGUAACAAUAAUGAAUAUCUUAGACCGCAACCAUGUUAUUUGUUGAUCGGGUUGGAUCAGAAUGUCUUGUAAAAUGUGGAUAAUUUGGAAACUAGUUAAGGAAGCUCCGAAUCUGAUGCAUGGCCAGAUGAUCUCCUUAUUCUUGGGCUGUUCAUCAGCAUUAGCUGACUUUCAGAAUUCUGCCUUAUAGUGCGUAUUUGUGGAGGUCUUAUCGACCGUCCCCUUGGUGUUCCUGGAACAAUGAUCUCAUGAUGAUGCUUGAGACAAUGAAAAGCAAUAUGGAAACUGCAUAAUUGGAAUCAUUCUCUUUUUCUUUUGUAGCUUGCACUAAUAGUUUUGGAUAAGGGAAGUGAAGAUGCUGGCUGGCUACUCUACAAUCAUUUCACAGGGUAUGACAUACAUCAAUUUGUAGGUUGUUCUCUUAGAAUCAUUCUUGUUCUGGCAAUACUCUGUUACUGAAGUUCAUAAGUGGAUGCUGUGGUUGCUCAUAUCUUAUGGUACUGCUAAGAAUCCUAACAGAUUUAUAUCUAUGUAAAGGAUCAAAGAUGAUAUCAUUUUAACUAUGAUAUAAGAAAUUUUUAACAUGAUUACUUUACAUCUACCAUACUCCUCAUCAGGUUUUAGCGAAUGAAAACUUAUUUUGGGGAUUUGUUGCUUGUAAGGAGCAAAUAACAAUAAAAAUAGGAUUAUAUGCUGUUACCAGUGUCGAAGAGUUUCUGUUAGGCAGUCGACUUUCUUUAAAAUUUAGGAACAAGUUAAAGUAGCCUUUAAGAAAAGGAAGAUUAAAGCUACAUGAUAUAGGUUUUGAGCCAAGAAAUCCUACCUGGUUGCUUGCUCACUUUGAUAUCUGCAGGUUUCCUAAUUGAAAGUCUCUUGCUCAAAAUCUCAGGAGAUGCAAUAUUCUUCUUUUCGGUUGGUGAUGGAAGUGGAUCAUCUGCUGUUACAGGGUCAUCCCCACAUGCUGAAGCUCCAUCACUUCCUGAUUCAGAAUUUAUGUCUCUGUGACUUGUGCUCGACUUUUCUUUCUCAGUCACCCUGUAUGCAAACAUCUGGAAUGGUAUCUGUGUGACAGGCUGAGGAUCAGAUUCAGAAUUU